UGCCGCUAGGGGCGUCCUGGUCGGGGCUUGAAUUAGAUGCGCACGGUUCCUAUGGCAGCGAAGAAGCGGUCCUUUAGAUAAGAUAACUUUUGUGUCCUUCCAAAGUUAGACAUAUCUGAAUAUUAAUUUAAGAAGCGGCACCUAUUUAAAGUAUAUAAGUAGAAAAAAUUGGUCUUUCAUUUUUUUAUGAAGGAAUAUAAGGCGGCGAUCGUUAUGACUUUUGAGCAAACAACAUUGUGUUAACGUUUUCUUUUUUUCAUUUUCAAUUCGGUUUCUUUUCCUGUGGUGUUGUGGCUGCUUUGGCGGUUUGGACAAAUUAAGGAGUUUUGAUAUUGGAUGCAGUUUGGACACUUUACAACACAGUACCAGAAGGUAACUCGCUCGAAAUAUCGCCAAGAUCAUUUUGCGACUUGAGCCUUAUGGCUGUAGUCGCUGGCGUGAUAAGCUAUAAGCUUGACAACUACCUUCAGGUUCAGCGCAUGUAAUCAAUACAAUUAACGUGCGAUCGUGUACAAUGAGGACUAAUAACAUUGACAUACGGUUAUCUGCCGGCGUUAGUGAGGCUUCGCGCUUUUUAACAAUGCCAACCGAUCGUUCGUUUAGUGGAUGAUUGAUGUUAAAUCGCUUGCAGUGCACCGUUUUCCCGAUCUUCACGGUUCCGUUUUGCUCUUGGUUUUGGCGUAUAACAAAACCAUAGACGCUUCGAGUGGAAUGUUGAACAAGCGGAAGGCUCGUUUAGACUACGCCGACUGCCAGAGGCUGGCCGGAUCUCGCGAGGGCAUCGCGUCGUUAGCCACGCCGUCCGUCGUCAAGAGAUCGUCGAGGGAUCCUCACCGGGGUCUCUACCCAGCUCAGAGGCCUAGGAUGAGCCGCAGCGCAGCGAACUCAUCGAAGAGCGGCACCUCCGACACCCCAGCCCCCGGCCAGGACAUGUCUUUGAGGUACCCCAGCUUUCAGUCGGCGCAUGCACUGUUGUUGGCCAGCUGCGCCGGCAGCAGCGACAGGAGGAGCUCUGCCACGAACCGCCCAGAGAACGGCAGGACACCCGAAGGCUCUCCGGGGAAGCGCAAGAGGGCCAAGACGAUGCCCCAGAACAACAAGAUCACGCGUUACUUCGAAACGUCUCCUAAGAAGCUUGGCGCCCAGUUUGACGAGGAGCAUCGCUGUCCUCAAGCUGCUGGGCCUUCGUCGCUUUCUUUCGUCGGUUCUAUCAAAGAAGACUCCAAGUGGCAGUACCCUCUGGAGGGGGACUCUGAUGACUCCGACGACUCCGUGGUGAUCACUGAAGUGUUUGGACUCCUGUGCCCGGAGGUGGUUCCCGAGACAGAGCUGAGCAAUCCUUUUGACCGGCUUCCCACCGAAGUGCUGGAGGCUGUCUUUGCCAACAUAAGCCUCCAGGAGCUCUUGUUGACCUGCAACCGUGUCUGCCGCAGAUGGCUCCAAGUCAUCGGCGAUCCAACGUUCCUGCAGCACCGGAAACGCUACUACAAGUUCAAAGCGGGCAACUGCAGGUCUGUCGUGUGCGAGGUCCAGUGCAUCUGCGAGUCAGAGAAGAUGUGCUCCACCAGGAGCUGUCUUCCUGGACUCAUUAGGUACAUGUUGAAGUUUAGAAAAGAAGCAAAGGGCCUUGAAGCUGUCCUGAGGAAUCAUGAAAAAUAUGAGAUAGCCACGGAAGUGCUGCAAGGAGGCUUUCGGGACUGCUUUUCUGGCAAGUUUGUACACCCGUGGUGCAUUGUGGCAGCACUCGUGGUGGUUUCGGAGAGCGUCCAGGACAUCUUUCAGCUAUUUCACCCGUCGCUCGACAAUCUGGCCCUCAGCGAGGCGUUGUACUGCAUUGCCACCUUCCUUCUGCACUUCCAGAAGAACUACAACAUCAAUCAUGGGUACCACUACAGGACCUACUACGCACUUCACCUGUACGAGAACAUGUGGUCGGGCACUCUCAAGGACUUGACUGCCGUCCAACAGUCACAUAAGGGACAGCAGAACAUUCUCAAGUUUGGGACAUCUAGUCAACGCGUCAAAUACACUCACGAGCAGAUGAGGGUCAUCAACCACGAGCUGAGUCCCAACGACAUUGUCCGCAUCAUUGCAUUUGCAGGAACAGGCAAAACGUCCACCCUGGUCGAGUAUGCGCGCUUGCGGCCAUCCAAGAAGUUCCUCUGCAUCGUCUAUAACAAGUCUGUGAGCGAAAUAGGGAAGAGGACGUUCUCUUCUAACGUGGAGUGCCGGACUGCUCACUCGCUGGCCUUCAGGUCUACUGGCUUCCGGUACCGUGACAAGAUGACCUCGAAAGUACGCGUGCUGGACGUGUCACGGCUGGUGUCGAUGCCCCCGGGCCUGUCCCUGAACAAGCAGCGCUUCUCCAAGCUGGUGAUCCAGAGUGUAGAGCACUUCCUUUCCUCGGCCGACGAGCUGCUCACCACAGCCCACGUGCCCCAGAAGGUGAUGGACUUGGAGAACAACAUGCCCAUCCAGCUCACCUCUGCCCAGAGACUGGCCGUGGCAGACGAAGCGGCCAGCUUCUGGGAGAAGAUGGCCGACCCCAACAACAAGGAGGUGCGCAUGACCCACGACGGGUACCUCAAGCUUUUCCAGCUACAGAAGCCCAGGCUGGGAGUCUACGACUGCAUCUUCGUGGAUGAAGCCCAGGACUGCAACCCAGCCAUGCUGGAUUUCAUCCUGGCCCAGAGCUGUCCAAAGAUCUUGGUAGGAGACCCCAACCAGCAGAUUUACGCCUUCCGGAGAGCCAUCGACGCACUGUCCUCUGUGCCGGGGACCCAUACAUUCUACCUCACUAAGUCUUUCAGAUUUGGCCCAGAGAUUGGAUACAUAGCUUCAUGUGCCUUGGAAACCCUCAAAGGCAUCAGCAACAAGACCAUAGUGGGCAGUGCAGAACCAGGGAAGGUGGACGGCAGCAUUUCGGGUCAGGUGGCGGUCAUCGCCAGGUCCAACUUGACCCUCUUUAAUCAGGCCGUGGAGAUUGUCUGCAACGAGCAAUACAGGAGGAUGGGACUGUCUCAUGUCAACGGUGCCUUCAUUGGGACAUUGUCUUCACCACAGCCCACAAGGCCAAGGGUCUUGAGUUCGACACGGUGAUGCUGGCAGACGACUUCUUUGUUGGGAAUUGCUCACUGGGAAACCACAAGGUGUCCCUGAAUGCGGAGACCAUCCAGGAGUACAACGUGCUCUAUGUGGCCAUGACAAGAGCUAAGAAGAGGCUGUGUAUGUCACGGGCAAUCUACUUCCUACUUCUACAGGCAC
rnacentral:misc_RNA from 1 species